AUUGAACGCUGGCGGCAGGCCUAACACAUGCAAGUCGCACGAGUGGCGUACGGGUUAGUAAGGUCUGGGCCACUGCCCGAUGGAUGGGGAUAACUAAUGGAAACUAUAACUACUUCCGCCUACCAUCGGAUGUGCCCAGAUGGGAGUAGCUAGUAGGUUGGGUAACGGCUGACCUAGGCGACUAGCCCUAGCUGGUCUGAGAGGAUGACCAGCCACACUGGAACUGAGACACGGUCCAGACUCCUACGGGAGGCAGCAGUGGGGAAUAUUGCACAAUGGGCGCAAGCCUGAUGCAGCCAUGCCGCGUGUAUGAAGAAGGCCUUCGGGUUGUAAAGUACUUUAAGCGAGGAGGCGGUACCCGCAGAAGAAGCACCGGCUAACUCCGUGCCAGCAGCCGCGGUAAUUC
rnacentral:rRNA from 1 species